rnacentral:rRNA from 1 species
UACGAAGGGGGCUAGCGUUGCUCGGAAUCACUGGGCGUAAAGGGUGCGUAGGCGGGUUUUUAAGUCAGAGGUGAAAUCCUGGAGCUCAACUCCAGAACUGCCUUUGGUACUGAAAGUCUUGAGUAUGGGAGAGGUGAGUGGAACUGCGAGUGUAGAGGUGAAAUUCGUAGAUAUUCGCAAGAACACCAGUGGCGAAGGCGGCUCACUGGCCCAUUACUGACGCUGAGGUGCGAAAGCGUGGGGAGCAAACAGG